rnacentral:misc_RNA from 1 species
GUAGGUGAACCUGCGGAAGGAUCAUUAACGUGGGGCUUCGGCCCCAUUGAGAUAGCACCCUUUGUUUAUGAGUACCCUUGUUUCCUCGGCGGGCUUGCCCGCCAUGAGGACAUUAAAAACCCUUUGUAGUAGCAGUAACUUCAGUUAAUAAUAAAUAUUAAAACUUUUAACGGUGGAUCUCUUGGCUCGU